CAGAUAUUAGUUUUUAUAAAAUUUUAAUUUUGGAGGUUAAAGAAAGAAGUAAUUCUAUAUCUGA
rnacentral:tRNA from 1 species